rnacentral:lncRNA from 10 species
CAGAAUGAUUUUCAGAAACUGCUUUGUGAUGUGUGCGUUCAACUCACAGAGUUUCAACUUUCUUUUCAUAGAGCAGUUAGGAAACACUCUGUUUGUAAAGUCUACAAGUGGAUAUUCAGACCUCUUUGAGGCCUUCGUUGGAAACGGGAUUUCUUUAUAUUAUGCUAGACAGAAGAAUUCUCAGUAACUUCCUUGUGUUGUGUGUAUUCAACUCACAGAGUUGAACGGUUCUUUACACAGAGCAGAUUUGAGACACUCUUUUUGUGGAAUUUGUAAGUGGAGAUUUCAGCCGCUUUGAGGUCAGUGGUAGAAAAGGAAAUAUCUUCGUAUAAAAACUAGACAGAAUGAUUCUCAGAAACUGCUUUGUGAUGUGUGCGUUCAACUCACAGAGUUUAACCUUCCUUUUCAUAGAGCAGUUAGGAAACACUCUGUUUGUAAAAUCUGCAAUUGGAUAUUCAGACCUCUUUGAGGCCUUCGUUGGAAACGGGAUUUCUUCAUAUUAUGCUAGACAGAAGAAUUCUCAGUAACUUCCUUGUGUUGUGUGUAUUCAACUCACAGAGUUGAACCCUCCUUUAGACAGAGCAGAUUUGAU